CCUACGGGUGGCAGCAGUAGGGAAUCUUUCACAAUGGGCGAAAGCCUGAUGGAGCAACGCCGCGUGCAGGAUGAAGGCCUUCGGGUUGGAAACUUCUUUUUUAAGCGAGAAAUAUGAUGGUAACUUAUGAAUAAGGAUCGGCUCACUACGUGCCAGCAGCCGCGGUCAUACGUAGGAUCCGAGCGUUAUCCGGAGUGACUGGGGGUAAAAAGUGGCGUAGGGGGGAUAAUGAGUAGCUAGUGAAAUCUGGUGGCUCAAACAUUCAGACUAUUAGCUAAACUGUUAAGCUCGAGAACGUUAGGGGUAAGUGGAAUUCGUGGUGUAGGAGUGAAAUGCGUAGAUAUCAGGAAGAACACCGAUAGCGUAGGCAGGUUACUGGGACGGUUCUGACACUAAGGCACGAAAGCGUAGGGAGCAAACGGGAUUAGAUACCCCUGUAGUC
rnacentral:rRNA from 1 species